CACCUUGCUUGGGUGAAGUGUCAGAUGAGG
rnacentral:piRNA from 1 species